AACGAACGCUGGCGGCAUGCCUAACACAUGCAAGUCGAACGCUCGUAGCAAUACGGGAGUGGCAGACGGGUGCGUAACGCGUGGGAACCUGCCCAGAGGUUCGGAAUAACUGCGGGAAACUGCAGCUAAUACCGAAUGUUGCCUGAGGGCUAAAGGAGUAAUUCGCCUUUGGAGGGGCCCGCGUCCGAUUAGCUAGUUGGUGGGGUAAUGGCCUACCAAGGCGACGAUCGGUAGCUGGUCUGAGAGGAUGACCAGCCACACUGGAACUGAGACACGGUCCAGACUCCUACGGGAGGCAGCAGUGGGGAAUCUUAGACAAUGGGGGAAACCCUGGUCUAGCCAUGCCGCGUGAUCGAUGAAGGCCUUAGGGUUGUAAAGAUCUUUCAGUGGGGAAGAUAAUGACGGUACCCACAGAAGAGGCCCCCGGCUAACUCCGUGCCAGCAGCCGCGGUAAU
rnacentral:rRNA from 1 species